rnacentral:tRNA from 1 species
UUUUUUAUGGUGUAAUAGAACACGUUGAAUUUUCGAUUCAGAGAUGGGGGGUUACCUCUAAGGUUCUUAGAUUAGGUUAUUUUGAAAAUA